CUGAAGAGAAACACUGAGAAGCUAGGUGAUGCCUGGCAAGGCACAUGGAACGCAUUGGAGAGGCCAUCUGAAACCAAUCUCCUGUGGACACCAAGGGACAGCUGUAUUUCAAUAAGAUGGCAGAAUUACUUGAGAAGCCUGCAGUCUACUUCCAGAAAUGUACCUAAUAAAAUAAAUGCAAUAAAUAUGAAUGUAGGACCUUGUGUGUUUUCAACUCCUUAGAACUAGAAGUAAAAGAAACCUAAAGUCAUUGUUCUCCACCUCUAUUGAACUUAUGAACUUGGACUGUGCUAGCAGUGUCCCCUUGGGAAAAGCUAAAUGUACUAGUUUCCUAAGAAGUAGGAAAAGGAAUUUUAGAAUAUUUAGGGUUUCUGAAUGGAGGUGAGAUGAGGAAAUAAUCUGAAAUAAAUCAGAAAGAUGACUUUUAUCUUAGGCCAUGCUUAUGUAGGAUCUUUGGGGCAUUAUUGUUCAUGUGAUUAAAGAGAAAAGAUAACAAAAGUUUUCAGGAUCUUUUAAGCUCUUUUUAUCAGAAGAGAAAGAGACUAUUACAUAUUUGAGUCAGUAAGGGGAGGAACAUUUAACCUCAAAUCAAGAAAAGUGAGCAAAAAUAACAAGCUGGUCAUAGUUUGAAUUAAUUAAAGGAUAAAUAGACUCUUCACAGAUCUUUUCUUUUGUUGCUUUAAUUUGUAUUGUGCUUUAAUUAGCAUCAGUGGUGCACUUAACGUGCUAGUGGUUCUGUGAGGAUAUAGACAGAAAGGCCUGAACCCAUGACAAGUGAAAAAAAAAUCAAAAAGUGAAUAACAAAUGACUAAAUCUGUGCAUGUGAAUUAUGACAUG